AGCGAACGCUGGCGGCAGGCCUAACACAUGCAAGUCGAACGAAGUCUUCGGACUUAGUGGCGGACGGGUGAGUAACACGUGGGAACGUACCUUUUGGUUCGGAACAACUCAGGGAAACUUGAGCUAAUACCGGAUGAGCCCUUAGGGGGAAAGAUUUAUCGCCGAAAGAGCGGCCCGCGUUAGAUUAGCUAGUUGGUGAGGUAAAGGCUCACCAAGGCUACGAUCUAUAGCUGGUCUGAGAGGAUGAUCAGCCACACUGGGACUGAGACACGGCCCAGACUCCUACGGGAGGCAGCAGUGGGGAAUCUUGCGCAAUGGGCGAAAGCCGGACGCAGCCAUGCCGCGUGAAUGAUGAAGGUCUUAGGAUCGUAAAAUUCUUUUACCAGGGACGAUAAUGACGGUACCUGGAGAAAAAGCCCCGGCUAACUUCGUGCCAGCCGCCGCAGUAA
rnacentral:rRNA from 1 species